CGCAUAUGCUACUGACCCAAUAACAACACCCUAAAACGAGAACCCUCAGGUACUCUCUCAUCGUGCAGUAGCUUUGGGAGAUUUCACAUUCAUAGAGAAGAAGACAGAGGCUUUCGUCGUUGCUUCACGCUCAGGUCCCCCACUGGUGUUCUAUGUUGGAUUCUAGCUAAACUAGCUACCUCAUCUUCUUGCCUCCAUUGUAAAGGUUUUAAUGGAUCAGAAAUACUUAAGGGUCUUAACCAAUACUUCAAAUAGGUCAUGGCUACGUUGGUUGAAGAAGUUGAAGAAUGUGCUUGUUGGCAGUUCAACAUGACUGAACAUAAAAUCUUUUGCAUAUAUAGAUAUCUUUUUAGCAGCCUUGCUCCAAGCUCGGUGGAUGUGGUAAGCACAAUUGUUCAUCAUCCCAAAUGUAUUCCCCAUAAAGAUGAAAAACUUCUGAAUUGUUUUAGAUCUAACUCCUCAAGCUGCCAAAUAACUGGUUCCUCACCAACCUCAAGUCAAAACGUUCGUCACGUGUCAACUCUCGUGAUCAUUGUACCACUUAAGAUCAAGCGUCAAGCUCUUGAGUGAAAUUCAUCGUUGGAGAUAGAAUCAAAGGAUUACCAAAGAUUGUAACCCGCACUUAAAUUAAUAAAAUUAUUAUUUUGUACA